rnacentral:pre_miRNA from 1 species
UGGAGAGGACAAACAGCUGACUACCAGUGGUGUUUUAGUGUAAAUACCGUUGGUUUACACUAAAACACCGUUGGUAGCCCUCUGUUUGGCCUCUCC